rnacentral:rRNA from 1 species
UCGCGGAUCAGCAACGCCGCGGUGAAUGCGUUCCCGGGCCUUGUACACACCGCCCGUCAAGUCAUGAAAGUGGGCAGCACCCGAAGACGGUGGCCUAACCCUUGUGGGGGGAGCCGUCUAAGGUGAGGCUCGUGAUUGGGACUAAGUCGUAACAAGGUACC